GUACACGCUGUGACUAGCAUAUCAAUAAGCGGAGGAAAAGAAACUAACAAGGAUUCCCCUAGUAACGGCGAGUGAAGCGGGAAGAGCUCAAAUUUGAAAUCUUGAAAGGUCACCUUUCACGAAUUGUAGUUUAAAGAAGUGUUUUCUGUUACGAUCGUAAUAUAAGUUCUUUGGAAUAGGACAUCACAGAGGGUGAGAAUCCCGUCUAUGAUUGCGAUUUGUAGCUUUGUGAUACACUUUCAAAGAGUCGGGUUGUUUGGGAAUGCAGCCCAAAACGGGAGGUAAAUUUCUUCUAAGGCUAAAUAUUGGCGAGAGACCGAUAGCGAACAAGUACCGUGAGGGAAAGAUGAAAAGAACUUUGAAAAGAGAGUUAAAUAGUACGUGAAAUUGUCAAAAGGGAAGCAGUUUAACACCAGUGUUGUUUUCUGAAAAUCAACCUCUGUUAGCUUUAUGCACGUUUGUUUAGACCUAAUCAGCUAUCUUGUAUGUUCUAUUGUUUGCAGUGGUGCACUUUUCAGUUUACAGGUCAACAUCAGUUUUUUCUUACCGUAAAAAAGGUUAAAGAAAGGUAGCUCAUGGCUCCGGUCGUGAGUGUUAUAGUCUUUUUCCUAUGCGGUAGGAGAGACUGAGGUCUGCAGUGUAGGCUAUUUGGCUAGAUACUCAGGUGCUAUGUGAUACCAUUUCAUAAACAACUUGUUGAUUAUGUUUUGUCUAUUGCAUACUCGCUUGUACUAUCAUACCUACGCUUAGGAUGUUGACGCAUGAGAUAUACGC
rnacentral:rRNA from 1 species